CCUACGGGAGGCAGCAGUAGGGAAUCUUCGGCAAUGGGGGCAACCCUGACCGAGCAACGCCGCGUGAGUGAAGAAGGUUUUCGGAUCGUAAAGCUCUGUUGUAAGUCAAGAACGAGUGUGAGAGUGGAAAGUUCACACUGUGACGGUAGCUUACCAGAAAGGGACGGCUAACUACGUGCCAGCAGCCGCGGUAAUACGUAGGUCCCGAGCGUUGUCCGGAUUUAUUGGGCGUAAAGCGAGCGCAGGCGGUUUGAUAAGUCUGAAGUUAAAGGCUGUGGCUCAACCAUAGUUCGCUUUGGAAACUGUCAAACUUGAGUGCAGAAGGGGAGAGUGGAAUUCCAUGUGUAGCGGUGAAAUGCGUAGAUAUAUGGAGGAACACCGGUGGCGAAAGCGGCUCUCUGGCUUGUAACUGACGCUGAGGCUCGAAAGCGUGGGGAGCAAACAGGAUUAGAUACCCGGGUAGUC
rnacentral:rRNA from 1 species